rnacentral:rRNA from 1 species
CCUACGGGGGGCAGCAGUGAGGAAUAUUGGUCAAUGGACGCAAGUCUGAACCAGCCAUGCCGCGUGCAGGAAGACGGCUCUAUGAGUUGUAAACUGCUUUUGUACGAGGGUAAACGCAGAUACGUGUAUCUGUCUGAAAGUAUCGUACGAAUAAGGAUCGGCUAACGCCGGGCCAGCAGCCGCGGUAAUACGGAGGAUUCAAGCGUUAUCCGGAUUUAUUGGGUUUAAAGGGGGCGUAGGCGGUCGGAUAAGUUAGAUGGGAAAUCCCGAGGCUCAACUUCGGAAUUGCCUCUGAUACUGUUCGGCUAGAGCGUAGUUGCGGUCGGCGGAAUGUAUGUUGUAGCGG